CCUACGGGGGGCAGCAGUCGAGAAUCAUUCACAAUGGGGGAAACUCUGAAGGUGCGACGCCGCGUGGAGGAAUGAAGGUCUUCGGAUUGUAAACUCCUGUCAUGUGGGAGCAAAUUAAAAAGAUAGUACCACAAGAGGAAGAGACGGCUAACUCUGUGCGAGCAGCCGCGGUAAUACAGAGGUCUCAAGCGUUGUUCGGAAUCACUGGGCGUAAAGGGUGCGUAGGCUGUUUCGUAAGUCGUGUGUGAAAGGCGCGGGCUCAACCCCCGGACGGCACAUGAUACUGCGAGACUAGAGUAAUGGAGGGGGAGCCGGAAUUCUCGGUGUAGCAGUGAAAUGCUUAGAUAUCGAGAAGAACACUCAUGGCGAAGGCAGGUUCCUGGACAUUAACUGACGCUGAGGCACAAAGGCCAGGGGAGCGAAAGGGAUUAGAUACCCUUGUAGUC
rnacentral:rRNA from 1 species